rnacentral:rRNA from 1 species
GACGAACGCUGGCGGCGUGCUUAACACAUGCAAGUCGAACGGAAAGGCCCUGCUUUUGUGGGGUGCUCGAGUGGCGAACGGGUGAGUAACACGUGAGUAACCUGCCCUUGACUUUGGGAUAACUUCAGGAAACUGGGGCUAAUACCGGAUAGGAGCUCCUGCUGCAUGGUGGGGGUUGGAAAGUUUCGGCGGUUGGGGAUGGACUCGCGGCUUAUCAGCUUGUUGGUGGGGUAGUGGCUUACCAAGGCUUUGACGGGUAGCCGGCCUGAGAGGGUGACCGGCCACAUUGGGACUGAGAUACGGCCCAGACUCCUACGGGAGGCAGCAGUGGGGAAUAGUGCACAAUGGGCGGAAGCCUGAUGCAGCAACGCCGCGUGCGGGAUGACGGCCUACGGGCUGUAAACCGCUUUCGCCUGUGACGAAGCGUGAGUGACGGUAAUGGGUAAAGAAGCACCGGCUAACUACGUG